rfam:Beta vulgaris subsp. vulgaris 0533.scaffold01098.con0001.1, whole genome shotgun sequence.
GGUUGCAAUCAUACCAGCACUGAUGCGCCGGAUCCAAUCAGAUUUCCGCAGUUAAGCAUGCUUGGGCGAGAGUAGUACUAGGAUGGGUGACCUCGUGGGAAGUCCUCGUGUUGCACCCC